rnacentral:rRNA from 1 species
CAAUAGCGUAUAUUAAAGUUGUUGCAGUUAAAAAGCUCGUAGUUGGAUUUCGGGGCAGCCUGGCUGGUCCGCCGCAAGGCGAGUACUGGUCAGCCGCCCUUCCUCUCGAAAGCCCCGACUGCUCUUCGUUGCAGUGGUCGGGUAGUUCGGGACGUUUACUUUGAAAAAAUUAGAGUGUUCAAGGCAGGCCUACGCCUGAAUACAUUAGCAUGGAAUAAUGGAAGAGGACCUCGGUCCUAUUUUGUUGGUUUCCAGGGCCGAAGUAAUGAUUAAGAGGGACAGUUGGGGGCAUUCGUAUUUAAUUGUCAGAGGUGAAAUUCUCGGAUUUAUGAAAGACGAACAACUGCGAAAGCAUUUACCAAGGAUGUUUUCAUUAA